rnacentral:lncRNA from 1 species
CUCAGUUUAGCACGGGCUAAGCUGAGAAGAAAUGGAAUUAAGACUGAGAUAAUAACCUGACUAGGACUAGGAUGCAUCAUGAUUUAUAUUCUUGCGUGUUGAUAUGGUUGAGUGCAGGUUCUCGUUAUCUUUAAAGAUAGUGUCGUAGCAAGAGGCCGAACUAUCUGGGUAACAAUUUGAUUGAGUAGACUGAUUGAGUAGAUUUAAUUAAAUGCUUGCUCGUUUAAUUAAUCUUGCUGAUUGAGGUUAGUCAUAUCUUGGUAAGGGAGUGACUAACUGGUUGAGUUUUUUAGUGAUGAUAUUGUUGUUAGUGUUGUAGAGUUAAAGUGUGAUGCCAUAUAGCUUGUGUGUAACCCACCAUGCUAGGCAUGUUUGGGGGUUGAUUAGUGUUUCUUCAACCUCGUACCCAGCGGGUUUAAGAAAACCCAUUAUUCGCUGGAUCGAGAGCACUCAGAGAGACGGGGUCAUGGCCUAUGGCUGAGUGGUUACACGGACG